AGUGAACGCUGGCGGUAGGCCUAACACAUGCCAGUCGAACGGCAGCACAGUAAGAGCUUGCUCUUACGGGUGGCGAGUGGCGGACGGGUGAGGAAUACAUCGGAAUCUACUUUUUCGUGGGGGAUAACGUAGGGAAACUUACGCUAAUACCGCAUACGACCUACGGGUGAAAGCAGGGGAUCUUCGGACCUUGCGCGAUUGAAUGAGCCGAUGUCGGAUUAGCUAGUUGGCGGGGUAAGGCCCACCAAGGCGACGAUCCGUAGCUGGUCUGAGAGGGUGAUCAGCCACACUGGAACUGAGACACGGUCCAGACUCCUACGGGAGGCAGCAGUGGGGAAUAUUGGACAAUGGGCGCAAGCCUGAUCCAGCCAUACCGCGUGGGUGAAGAAGGCCUUCGGGUUGUAAAGCCCUUUUGUUGGGAAAGAAAAGCAGCAGGUUAAUACCCCGCUGUUCUGACGGUACCCAAAGAAUAAGCACCGGCUAACUUCGUGC
rnacentral:rRNA from 1 species